rnacentral:rRNA from 1 species
UACGUAGGGUGCAAGCGUUAAUCGGAAUUACUGGGCGUAAAGCGUGCGCAGGCGGUUCUAUAAGACAGAUGUGAAAUCCCCGGGCUCAACCUGGGAACUGCAUUUGUGACUGUAGAGCUGGAGUAUGGUAGAGGGGGAUGGAAUUCCGCGUGUAGCAGUGAAAUGCGUAGAUAUGCGGAGGAACACCGAUGGCGAAGGCAAUCCCCUGGACCUGUACUGACGCUCAUGCACGAAAGCGUGGGGAGCAAACAGG